rnacentral:rRNA from 1 species
GACGAACGCUGGCGGCGUGCCUAAUACAUGCAAGUUGAGCGCUGAAGGUUGGUACUUGUACCAACUGGAUGAGCAGCGAACGGGUGAGUAACGCGUGGGGAAUCUGCCUUUGAGCGGGGGACAACAUUUGGAAACGAAUGCUAAUACCGCAUAAAAACUUUAAACACAAGUUUUAAGUUUGAAAGAUGCAAUUGCAUCACUCAAAGAUGAUCCCGCGUUGUAUUAGCUAGUUGGUGAGGUAAAGGCUCACCAAGGCGAUGAUACAUAGCCGACCUGAGAGGGUGAUCGGCCACAUUGGGACUGAGGCACGGCCCAAACUCCUACGGGAGGCAGCAGUAGGGAAUCUUCGGCAAUAGACGAAAGUCUGACCGAGCAACGCCGCGUGAGUGAAGAAGGUUUUCGGAUCGUAAAACUCUGUUGGUAGAGAAGAACGUUGGUGAGAGUGGAAAGCUCAUCAAGUGACGGUAACUACCCAGAAAGGGACGGCUAACUACGUG